UAAGGGUUUGUUUUGGUAGUCGAUCCCACGAGACAAAUCCAGCUAUUGUGAGUGUUAGGUGGUGGGAACGAGGUAACGUCUAUGAACCAUGUAUUAAAAUUGGACCAAGAAAAACUUUGCCAAGAAGCCUCUUAUUGAUUGACAUUCUAAAAUAUGUCAGAAGUUGCCCCAUCUCAUCUGCCAAAAAACACGAUAAAGUGAGAAAUGCUAUAACAGCAAAAAAUCGAGAGAAAAGAAUGAGGAAUUUAAAUAUCACAUAUGCUAAAUGGUAAGCGAAGGAGGACUGUCAACAACAAUUCUAGAUGCAGUUCAGGUUCAGCUGCUAAUGUGUCCCUGGAAGAGGGGCUGUCAUCCCCCAUAGUUGAAAGGACAGUGUACCACUGCCCCUACUGCUCUUUUUGGCAUCAGACACUUGAUGGCUUUCAUGGCCAUUUAACUAAGAAUCACCAACAAGGGGAUCAAACGUACCAAUGCACGUACUGCCACUUAACCGCGGAUUCUCGCCGCGAUAUUUGGAAUCAUAUACAUCGGCUUUCGCAGAAAGAUAGCGUCCACAAAAGAGCUACAUGUCUCGUGCGCUCGAAAAAUCUUAUCGAACGCUACGCUGUUUAUCUGAAAACAGUGCAGGUGCCAGCAUCUGCCAAAUGUGGUCAACUGUCCCAAAAUUCCAUCAGUGUCAAUGACUCUUUCCUCGCGAACCAA